GCCACAUGACCAACUGGGCUCCUUACCCAAGGCAAACAGCACUCGUACAUACGCCCAGACCCAGAGACGGACACAUCCACACACAGAAACAGACAGACAGGAGGACAGACCUGCAAGCCGAUUCCCAGGACAUUUACAUCUCUACUGAACUUGGCUCCGGCUACAGAGAAGGAGACAGAGAGAGAAGGGGGAAGAAGAUACACCUCGGUGGAAACAGAGCUCAGAUAAAGACGUGCCUUCAGUCUUGGAGUGGCGCUGUCACACGGCGAUAUACAACCACGCUUUCAGACUCAGCGGACAAGCACACACACACACACACACACACACACACACACACACACACACACACACACACAAGCACGCACACACACAAGCAGGCUGCCAACGCGCGAGAGCAGGCAUACCAUUUCUGGCCGUCACUUUCAUACAGAGACACACACAGAGCCCGAGCAGUCACUCUCUUCUCACUGACGCACGAGUACACACACACACACACACGGGAGCAAACACUCUCUCUCUCUCUUUCCCCCCUUCUUGCUCGCUCAGCUGCUCUCCCUCUCCCUCUCUCUCUCCCUCUCUCUCUCUCCUCUCUCUCUCUCUCUCUCUCUCUCUCUCUCUCUCUCUCUCUCUCUCUCUCUCUCUCUCUCUCUCCCCUCUCCUUCUCUAUCUCCCUCUCCCUCCCAUCCUCACACAUACACACACACACCACUACAGUAUAUCAGCGAGUGACUAGCAGAGAGACCGAGGGGAGAGCAGAAAUGAAUGUGAAGAUCCUGACGCUGGUGAUUGUGCUCUUGGUGUCUCUGCUGUGCUCUGCCAGUGCUGGUAAGUAGAGGAGCGGCUAGCCACCUCGUUGCUGAUAUCCUAAACCGUGUGUUUCUCUGUGUGUUUCUCUCUGUUCUCUCUCUCUGCUCUCCUUCUAUCUCUCUCUCUCUCUCUGCCUGUGUUUCUCUGCUGUUAGCCUUGCACCGCAUGCAGGCAGCUGUAGUUGAUCAGUUACCCAGCAUGGUUAGCCUCUCUAGAAAGGAAAGACUAGAUCUGCACCUGGCUGGGUACAGUACUGCACUGCAGUGGUUAUACUGUCUGCUAUUGUAUUGUUGAUUUGGUUGGUUGGAACUUGUGAGUGGAUGGCUGGUGUUGUGUGCUCAUGGUGUUUAGUGUUUCUUCUUUUGCGUUCUGCUCUGCUGCUGUCCGCUUCGAUCUUAAUGGAGCGUGGAGGUUGUGAUCUAAGAUGAAAUAUUUAGAGGCUAUUAUUGGUGGGCAUUUCUGUGUGUGUGUG
ensembl:lncRNA